rnacentral:rRNA from 1 species
GGAGUUAGCCGGUGCUUCUUCUGUGAGUGAUGUCCUUCCUGCCGGCUAUUAACCCGCAGGCCUUCUUCCUCACUGAAAGUGCUUUACAACCCGAAGGCCUUCUUCACACACGCGGCAUGGCUGGAUCAGGGUUGCCCCCAUUGUCCAAUAUUCCCCACUGCUGCCUCCCGUAGGAGUCUGGGCCGUGUCUCAGUCCCAGUGUGGCUGAUCAUCCUCUCAGACCAGCUACGGAUCGUCGCCUUGGUGAGCCGUUACCUCACCAACCAGCUAAUCCGACAUAGGCUCAUCCGAUAGCGCGAGGCCCGAAGGUCCCCCGCUUUCCCCCGUAGGGCGUAUGCGGUAUUAGCCUGGGUUUCCCCAGGUUAUCCCCCACUACCGGGCAGAUUCCUAUGCAUUACUCACCCGUCCGCCGCUCGCCACCAGGGAGCAAGCUCCCCGUGCUGCCGCUCGACUUGCNUGUGUAGUCGUCGCCGCCACGCGUCUAUCUGAGCCGACGAACUACAACCUACUCGACGUAGAGGCGGGCGUCGGCGACGGACGGCGACUAG